GGAUUAGAUACCCUGGUAGUCCACGCCGUAAACGAUGUCUACUAGUUGUCUGUUGCCUUACGACGGGUAACGCAGCUAACGCGAUAAGUAGACCGCCUGGGGAGUACGGCCGCAAGGUUAAAACUCAAAUGAAUUGACGGGGGCCCGCACAAGCGGUGGAGCAUGUGGUUUAAUUCGAAGCAACGCGAAGAACCUUACCUGGCCUUGACAUCCUGCGAAUCUCUUGGAGACAAGAGAGUGCCUUCGGGAACGCAGAGACAGGUGCUGCAUGGCUGUCGUCAGCUCGUGCCG
rnacentral:rRNA from 1 species